GCUCCCUGGAGGAUCUUUUGAGUUUUCCUAAAGAUAAAUUGACUUGUUCAUGGAACUGUACACUACAUCUUUCUUUAUACAGCGUAGAGGUCCUUCAGGACAAGAUCAGGAAUACCAUGUACAGCAGUCAGAAAGAGGUGAAAUUCAUCACUCAGGUUCCGAAGGAAUGUCUUAAAGCGUCGAAUGGCUCAACUGAACUUCAGAAGACACCAGUUCUUGCAUUUUCAAGCAGAACAAACAAUAGGAAGCCUGUGAAAUACUUAGGGAAAUGCUUUUUUUGAAGUUCUCAGACUGCUACUGAGAUUUUUAGGAGGAUUUUGCAACAGAUUCAUCAUGGUCUGGAAAAGUCAAAACAAAUAUCAGAGAAUGAGUUGGCAUCAACUCCCGGGUUGUAAGAGAUACUUGCACUUUAAGGCUUGGCAGUAGUGGAUAAUGACUUUUUCCUCAGACUUGGUGCCAUUUCUAAAAUGUCAUCGUUCAUAUUGCAGAUCCAGAAAUUAUUCUGCAGUAUAACGGACACGCUUAGUCCAUUCUGUUGUUUUACUGUACAGCACUUUAUGUCCACUGGCUUUCAUUGUUACAUGUAUUUGUGUGCAAUACAACUUUAUUUAUCUAAACGCCUUUAUCUGCACAAGCAUGUGUAUCAGCUUCAGACUGAUAUUUGUGCCUAAAUUUCAUAACAUAAUAGUUACAGCUAUGAGUGUUGACCUGGAUGUAUUUUAUUUCCCUUGAAAAAAAAAUUUAUAAGAUGU